rnacentral:tRNA from 1 species
GGGCCCGUAGCUCAGCGGUUAGAGCAGGGGACUCAUAAUCCCUGGGUCGGGGGUUCGAAUCCCUCCGGGCCUACUA